GGCCAGCAGCCGCGGUAAUACGUAGGGUGCGAGCGUUAAUCGGAAUUACUGGGCGUAAAGCGUGCGCAGGCGGUUUCGUAAGACAGAUGUGAAAUCCCCGGGCUUAACCUGGGAACUGCAUUUGUGACUGCGAGACUAGAGUGUAGCAGAGGGGGGUAGAAUUCCACGUGUAGCAGUGAAAUGCGUAGAGAUGUGGAGGAAUACCGAUGGCGAAGGCAGCCCCCUGGGCUAACACUGACGCUCAUGCACGAAAGCGUGGGGAGCAAACAGGAUUAGAUACCCUGGUAGUCCACGCCCUAAACGAUGUCAACUAGGUGUUGGGGAAGGAGACUUCUUUAGUACCGCAGCUAACGCGUGAAGUUGACCGCCUGGGGAGUACGGUCGCAAGAUUAAAACUUAAAGGAAUUGGCGGGGGA
rnacentral:rRNA from 1 species